AGAGUUUGAUCCUGGCUCAGAUUGAACGCUGGCGGUAUGCCUAACACAUGCAAGUCGAACGAGGUAGCAAUACCUAGUGGCGGACGGGUGAGGAAUACGUAGGGAUCUGCCCUUAAGUGGGGGAUAACCGGGGAAACCCGGAUUAAUACCGCAUAACAUGCUGCCUUUUAAGAGGUGGACAUCAAAGCCGGGGACCGCAAGGCCUGGCGCUUAAAGAGGGGCCCGCGCCUGAUUAGCUAGUUGGUGGGGUAAUGGCUCACCAAGGCAACGAUCAGUAUCCGGCCUGAGAGGGCGGACGGACACACUGGGACUGAGACACGGCCCAGACUCCUACGGGAGGCAGCAGUGGGGAAUUGUUCGCAAUGGGCGCAAGCCUGACGACGCAACGCCGCGUGGAGGAUGAAGAUCUUCGGGUUGUAAACUCCUUUCGAUCGAGACGAAUGGCCCUUGGGCUAACAUCCCGAGGGAGUGACGGUACCGAGAGAAGAAGCCCCGGCUAACUCCGUG
rnacentral:rRNA from 1 species